GCGGGUUUAGCUCAGUUGGGAGAGCGUCAGACUGAAGUCAAACUUCACCAGUACAUCUGAAGGUCGUGUGUUCGAUCCACACAAACCGCA